rnacentral:lncRNA from 1 species
CUCCCCACCAGCUGCAUAGGAGGAUAGGAGGGCACUCUUUGCAUUUUCCUAGGAAGAUUAGAGAAAACGUUGAUGUCGUUGUCACUUCCCAAUAGGCCCUGAGUAUCUUUGAAUUUUGCCUUUUUUGGAAAAUGGAACCUCGAUGAUGAGGGUCUCCAAACUUCCUUUAAUGUAAGAGAGAUAACCAUCAGCGUGUUUUGGAAGUCAAAGGGAUUCUCAGAACGUGUCACUGCCCUGUACACUGUUUCCAGACCUGGGAUGGGUGAGGUGGCCACAUAACAUUUCCCUCCGGGUCAGGGUCCGAUGAAGCCUCAGGAAGUUAGAGGGGAUGUCCCUCAGCCCCCAGUUUGGGCGGUUCUCAGUUCUGACCCACUGGACCUAGAGAGGGCCCCAGGCCUACUCAGACACCUGGGGUGGAUCUGGUUGGAGUUCAUUUAACAAUGUCUAUGAAGGACAUACUGUGUGCAGGGCAUCUGGAUACACACUAAGUGUCACUCAAUAAAUGAAGCAGACAGCCUCCCUGGGCCUCCCCUCUAAUCUGAGUCAGUCACACUUGACAUCAUUCCUAGGUCCCAUCUACCCUCCAUCCUGGGCGAUGCCCUCAUCCCCUUUGGGACACAUGGAGGCAGCUUGGCCCAUUGUGUGCGGGAUGCUGGAGGACAGCACCACCUCCCAAAGUGAGCGGUCUUUGAGUGCAGACGGAGGGCCUCCUGUCUCUAGCAAAUAGGGUGAGGGGAGAGGAUGGAGGUUGUGGCCGGGUCAGGCCUGGGAGACCCCUGCAUCUCACCCAUCUUGUGAUUCCCAUGGGAAGGCUGAGUUCUGGUGGCUUCCACUCCAGCAGGACUGGACUCAAAGAGAGCUAUCUAUGGGUCCCAGGCCCCCUGAGAACCGGUUGGGAGGCUGGGCUGAGUUGCUUCCUAGAGACCCAAUCCCAGCAGAGUCCCAGCUCCUUGUGCCUCCCUUUCUCCACAUCCACCACUUGUGAGCGCCACCAGCAGGUCCAUAGUAGGAGGUGCGUGAGCAAGCUGCUCACAGAUCUGCUGGAGUCUUCAUUCCAGUGACUCACAUACAUGGAGGGCUUGGGUGGGCUGUGUCCAGACCCUUGGGGAGGAGAGUGUCGGUGGGAACAAGAGACUCUCACAGACUCUGUGUUCAGCCUGCUAGGUGAGCAGGCCUGCCACUGCCAGGUCAGCCAGCCGGGGGCUCAGGGCUGGGAUGGGGCCCCUCCUCUGGAGGGGGAGGGGAUGGCACAGGGGCCCAGAUGCUAACAAGAGUGCCUUGGGCGGGCAGUGUUUAAGGAAAGGCCGGGCCACUGACUCUCUGGCCCAUCUGCCUCCCCGCAGUGCUAUUUCCUGCUGGGAACCUGGCUGGGCCAAGGGCAGGAUUGCAGGGAGCCCCUGCGGUUUCCAUGCUGGACCCUGCAGCUGGCCACUCUGCACGUCAGCUUUGAUGGCUCACAUGUGGAGGGCCAUGCCUACCUUCUGCCAGGCCACCUGGAGCACCUCAAGGCCAUUGAGGCUAAACAGAAAGAGCCAGCUCCAAAGCUCCUGCCACAUCCAGAGCCAGAGCCAGAGCCAGAACCAGCCCCUGGGCUAGAGCCAUCUUCAGCUCCAGCCCCACCACCCAUGGCAGAGCUGGAGCCAGCAUCACCUGCAUCGGACCCUACAGGGCUGGAGGAAGGGGCACCAUUAACUUCAGCCCCAGUGCCAGCUCCUGAACUAGAGUCCACUGGACCCUGGGCUGUGACCACCGAAAACCAGCUGAGGGAGGAGAAGUCAAAUAUCUUGGACUUCCCUCCCCGGCUGGUGGCAGAGCAGCUGACAAGCAUGGAGGCGGUGAGCAGCGGGGCUUGCAGGGAAGGGGGGCCCUGCCUUCCUGUGCCAUGAGCUGCCCCACACCUGCCAUUCCCUGAUCCAAAAUAUGAUGAUCUGGGUCCACAUUCCUGCCCCUGCCCCUUACCAACACUGUGACUUGGGCACUUUCUUAACCCCAAGCGCUCGCUGUCCCCACGUGCACAGCAGAGCCAGACACUAAGGGCACCUGCUGCACGGGGUGGCUGUGCCGAUGAAUGAGGUGGAACAGAGAGGAAGUUGGGCAGGGUCUGGCCCUUUGGUGCAGGAGGGAGCUCACGGAAGUGCUGCCAGGUCCUUGGGCCUAUCACGCGUGUGCCCAGGGGGCCUUCAAAUCCUCAGCACACAUCAAGCAUGUGAUGUGUACUGACUCCUCCAUCGGAGACAAUCACAUAAAGCCGAUGCUUCUCCCUGCCUCGGGGGAAUGUGCAUGGGAAUGGGGAGUGGGACCCGAGGGGGACUGCGAUGGGUGGAAGAUGUCCCUUGGGGUGGGCCGGUGAGGGCUGUGUUCCAGGAGCUUGGAGGAAGUGAGAUGGGGCUGGGAGCAAAUGCCCUCCCUUCUGCACAGCACUGUGUCCCGGGUCAUCUUGUGCUGACACCUUCAGUGGACACAGACAAAACCCAGGGAAUCCCACACACCUCAGAGAUCACAUCCUCUGCUUCCUGAGCUCCCGCUCUGUCCUCAACCCACCUGGGACUGUGGGGGACCAUGGAUGCCGGGCUGGGGUGAGGCAGUGUUGGCAACACUCUGAAUCUUCCUCAGGAGCUGUUCAAGAAUUUGGUGCCUGCCCACUGCCUGGGCUCCAUCUGGUCCCAGCGAGACAGCAG